ensembl:lncRNA
CUCAUGUACUGAGGAAAGAGGUUCACUCAACUUCUGUUCUUCCGAUGUAAAAUUAGCUAGCUUGUUAACAAUAGCAGCCCAAUUUCUCAAAAACUGUAAAUCUACCAUCUCUGAUUGCACCAGACUGCUGCUCACGGACAGAAGAGAUGGACUUCAACGACCAAUAUCCAGGAACAGGAGAAAUCAUACCAGGAUUACGCUAAGAAGUGGCAGCCACAGAUGAUUGAAGCCUUUGACAUCGCCAGUAGAAACAUGGAGAAAUCAACAGCAAAGGGAAAAGCCUACUACGAUCGGAAGAAAAUGAGUUG